rnacentral:rRNA from 1 species
UACGAAGGGGGCUAGCGUUGCUCGGAAUCACUGGGCGUAAAGCGCACGCAGGCGGUCUUUUAGGUCAGGGGUGAAAUCCUGGAGCUCAACUCCAGAACUGCCUUUGAUACUGAGAGACUUGAGUCCGGGAGAGGUGAGUGGAACUGCGAGUGUAGAGGUGAAAUUCGUAGAUAUUCGCAAGAACACCAGUGGCGAAGGCGGCUCACUGGCCCGGUACUGACGCUGAGGUGCGAAAGCGUGGGGAGCAAACAGG